GCUGUAGCUCAGUGGUUGGAGCAUCCACUCUCCAUACAGAAGGUCAUGGGUUCUAAUCCCAGCAUCUCCA